GAGGAAUGGAGACUUCAGCUUGACUGCUGAUAAGACAGCAAAAGCAACUUACCUAAGGACUUGCUGACCCUGCAUAAGAGAAAUUAAAUGAAACAACAUGUAGUACUGGUCUCUGUCAGACAGUCCUGAAUCAUCCUUUUGAAGUAAACAGAAGUUAUGACAUGUGAAGAUGAUGAAUUUAAGGACCCAAAAAUAUGCUGUUUUCCACAACUAACUGCUUUCAGAGCAUCCCAUUCCUUUUAUCAAGCCACCUAGGUAGAUUCUUGAAUCCACCUCCUGGAAAGGAGGCAUAAACCUGCUGCCUGAGCUGUCUUAAGAGCUUGAUCAAGCAGUGAGGUAAGUGCCUUUUACUACAAGGAAACUACAAGGUCAGAAGGGGAAAAAGUACUGAGAAGAUGGUGAUUAUGAGCAUUAAUCAUAAUAAUAUCGAGUUCUUGUGUAGCACUUUUCAUCAGGAGAUUUUAAAGCACUGUACAAAAGAGACGAGUCUCAUUAUCUCCAUAUUUUAGAUCUAAAAUGUGACCUCUGCUACCUUAAGGCUGUUUUUUCGCGGGUAAAAAAGGCUUCUGGAAUCAACAGUUCUUUUUUUCUGUUAAAUUUCUAAUCAUCACAAUGAAGAUUUUUGAAAUCUACUUGUUUCUGUGUUCUCUGUAAUGGAGCUGUAAUUGUUUUACUUACAGCCCAGGAUAUCAUGAAUGAAUUAAUGUGAUUUUUAUCAGCACACUGACAUCAGCUGAUUGAACUGACAUGUUAGCAUUCUCAGGGUAUAUUCUGAACAAUUAUUUUAACACAUCCAAUUAUGUUGAGAAAUGGUAACUGAUUAUAUUGGUGUUGCAAUGCACAGUGAAUUGGAUCGGUGUAAACCACUUUCAAGGAGGUCUUAAAUGAAUCCUCUUUUUCAUUUGCAGAGGACUGAUAGAUGGACCUUUUAGAGCAUCCUAGUUGAGAGCAUGCUACCUACCAGCAGAGGGGUGGUCUUUCAAAACAUGCUAAUACUCCUGCAACGACUGUCUGGGUCCUAAAUGCCCAUAAAAGAAUUAUAUUAAGCAAAACAUCAAUAUUAUUGUCAGUUGUUAUUGAAGGGCAAAUUUUUACCUCUGCUGUCAGGAAAAUACUUGUUUUACAAGAUGGACCCUGACAUCUUCCAGCAUAAUUUUAUUGUAAGAGAAAAGGCUUAUGUUUGCAGAACAGUGAAGGACAAAACUGGGGUGCUCACCUUUCUUCUUGAUGCAGAGUGGCUCAAGUAUUUGCUGAGGAAUUGUUCUUGUUCCCCUCUGGGGCAAAGUUUGGUUUCCAUGAGUAAAUCCUACGAAAAAAGAGAGAGGGGGUUGUGAGGAGCUUUACAUAUCAGAAAAGAAAAUCAGAAUAACAAAAAUAUCCCGUUGUCUAUGUUCAGAAAAUUGCUCUAGAGAGGGGGUGCGUAGGUUGCUCUGAAAAUAAUGCCCCAUAUUUACUUCAAUGGAAACUCCAACAGAUACAAUGAGCACAAUAACACUACUUGAUUGGGCAAAUUAUCUGUUACAAAACACUGUUCUUUAACAGUCACCACCAUUAG